rnacentral:lncRNA from 1 species
AAAAAAAAAAUAUAAUAGCCUUUCAAGACGUCAUAAUUAUUUGGACUAUCAAGGCCAGGGCUGCCAAAAAUGCGUGAGACUCACGCAUGUUCAUGCUUUUUGCAGCAGUAUCCUUGGAUCAAUUUUUUCCUCUUUGAUCUUUUCUAUUUUGGCCAAAUCUCACGAAUUUGCUUAAUGAAAAGUUGGCAGAACUGCUAUACAUGUGUCAAUGAAAACUA